rnacentral:rRNA from 2 species
CUCACCAAGGCGACGAUGCGUAGCCGACCUGAGAGGGUGAUCGGCCACACUGGGACUGAGACACGGCCCAGACUCCUACGGGAGGCAGCAGUAGGGAAUCUUCCGCAAUGGACGAAAGUCUGACGGAGCAACGCCGCGUGAGUGAUGAAGGUUUUCGGAUCGUAAAGCUCUGUUGUUAGGGAAGAACAAGUGCAAGAGUAACUGCUUGCACCUUGACGGUACCUAACCAGAAAGCCACGGCUAACUACGUGCCAGCAGCCGCGGUAAUACGUAGGUGGCAAGCGUUGUCCGGAAUUAUUGGGCGUAAAGGGCUCGCAGGCGGUUUCUUAAGUCUGAUGUGAAAGCCCCCGGCUCAACCGGGGAGGGUCAUUGGAAACUGGGAAACUUGAGUGCAGAAGAGGAGAGUGGAAUUCCACGUGUAGCGGUGAAAUGCGUAGAGAUGUGGAGGAACACCAGUGGCGAAGGCGACUCUCUGGUCUGUAACUGACGCUGAGGAGCGAAAGCGUGGGGAGCGAACAGGAUUAGAUACCCUGGUAGUCCACGCCGUAAACGAUGAGUGCUAAGUGUUAGGGGGUUUCCGCCCCUUAGUGCUGCAGCUAACGCAUUAAGCACUCCGCCUGGGGAGUACGGUCGCAAGACUGAAACUCAAAGGAAUUGACGGGGGCCCGCACAAGCGGUGGAGCAUGUGGUUUAAUUCGAAGCAACGCGAAGAACCUUACCAGGUCUUGACAUCCUCUGACAACCCUAGAGAUAGGGCUUUCCCUUCGGGGACAGAGUGACAGGUGGUGCAUGGUUGUCGUCAGCUCGUGUCGUGAGAUGUUGGGUUAAGUCCCGCAACGAGCGCAACCCUUGAUCUUAGUUGCCAGCAUUCAGUUGGGCACUCUAAGGUGACUGCCGGUGACAAACCGGAGGAAGGUGGGGAUGACGUCAAAUCAUCAUGCCCCUUAUGACCUGGGCUACACACGUGCUACAAUGGACAGAACAAAGGGCUGCGAGACCGCAAGGUUUAGCCAAUCCCACAAAUCUGUUCUCAGUUCGGAUCGCAGUCUGCAACUCGACUGCGUGAAGC